UUGACCUCGGAUCAGGUAGGGAUACCCGCUGAACUUAAGCAUAUCAAUAAGCGGAGGAAAUCUA
rnacentral:rRNA from 1 species